GACGAACGCUGGCGGCGUGCUUAACACAUGCAAGUCGAACGGAAAGGCCCUGCUCUUGCGGGGUGCUCGAGUGGCGAACGGGUGUGUAACACGUGAGUAACCUGCCCUUGACUUUGGGAUAACUUCAGGAAACUGCGGCUAAUAUCGGAUAGGAGCUCCUGCUGCACGGUGGGGGAUGGUAAGUUUCGGCGGUUGGGGAUGGUCUCGCGGCUUAUCAGCUUGUUGGUGGGGUAGUGGCUUACCAAGGCUUCGACGGGUAGCCGGCCUGAGAGGGUGACCGGGCACAUUGGGACUGAGAUACGGCCCAGAAGCCUACGGGAGGCAGCAGUGGGGAAUAUUGCACAAUGGGCGGAAGCCUGAUGCAGCAACGCCGCGUGCGGGAUAACGGCCUUCGGGUUGUAAACCGCUUUCGCCUGUGACGAAGCGUGAGUGACGGUAAUGGGUAAAGAAGCACCGGCUAACUACGUG
rnacentral:rRNA from 1 species